rnacentral:rRNA from 1 species
AUUGAACGCUGGCGGCAGGCUUAACACAUGCAAGUCGAGCGGAGACUUCGGUCUUAGCGGCGAACGGGUGAGUAAUACCUAGGAAUCUGCCUAUUAGUGGGGGAUAACGAAUCGAAAGGUUCGCUAAUACCGCAUACGUCCUACGGGAGAAAGGGGGGGAUCUUCGGACCUCUCGCUAAUAGAUGAGCCCACGUCAGAUUAGCUAGUUGGUAGGGUAAAGGCCUACCAAGGCGACGAUCUGUAGCUGGCCUGAGAGGGUGGCCAGCCACACUGGAACUGAGACACGGUCCAGACUCCUACGGGAGGCAGCAGUGGGGAAUAUUGGACAAUGGGCGCAAGCCUGAUCCAGCCAUGCCGCGUGUGUGAAGAAGGCCUUCGGGUUGUAAAGCACUUUAAGUUGGGAGGAAGGUUUGAUGGUUAAUACCCGUCAGAAUUGACGUUACCAACAGAAUAAGCACCGGCUAAUUCCGUG